AGCAGCCGCGGUAAUUCCAGCUCCAAUAGCGUAUAUUAAAGUUGUUGCAGUUAAAAGCUCGUAGUUGAAUUUCGGGAUCAAUAUGUCGGUCGUGCCUUGGUACGUACUGGUAUCAUUGGUCUCUCCUUUCUGACGAACCAUGAUGUCAUUAAUUUGGUGUUAUGGGAAGUUAGGACUGUUACUUUGAAAAAUUGAGUGUUUAAAGCAGGCUUUAGCUUGAAUACAUUAGCAUGGAAUAAUGAAAUAGGACGUUCGAACCUAUUUUGUUGGUUUCUAGGAUCAACGUAAUGAUUAAUAGGGAUAGUUGGGGGCAUUAGUAUUCAAUUGUCAGAGGUGAAAUUCUUGGAUUUAUUGAAGACUAACUACUGCGAAAGCAUUUGCCAAGGAUGUUUUCAUUAAUCAAGAACGAAGUUAGGGAUCGAAGACGAUCAGAUACCGUCGUAGUCUUAACCAUAAACUAUGCCGACUAGGGAUCGGAUGAUGUUAAUUUUUAAUGACUCAUUCGGCGUCCUUACGGGAA
rnacentral:misc_RNA from 1 species